rnacentral:rRNA from 1 species
ACCAGCAGCCAUAUCACCCUGCAGCCCAAGACUAGUUGCCCACUGAAGCUAAGCAGGGCUGAGCCUGGUCAGUACCUGGAUGGGAGACCUCCUGGGAAAACUAGGUUGCUGCUGGAA